GAAUGUGAGAUGACAUCUGUCAUUUCACAUACGACAUCGGUCACCCCAUUGAUUGUCAGGGUUGAUUUGGCUGAUCUGGCUGGCUAGGUGGGUAUCCCCUUCCUCCCUUACCGCUCCCUCCCAAAGCUGUAUGUUUGGUUGAAGAGGAUGGCCUUCCCCAAAUAGAGACAGACCUGUCUUUGGUCGACGGUAUAUGAGUAGCUGCACUAUUGUUAGAACCUCCAAACAAGCUCUGGAACCACAUGAGAUAUUACCUCAUACAUAUGUGAAUGGUUCACAUCAACAAAUCAAGAAAUGGCAAGUGU
rnacentral:snRNA from 1 species